GGAAUAGUAGUGAAGUUCACAUCAUUAUUUCAUGAUGAAAAUUUUUUUUAGACCUCUUUAU
rnacentral:tRNA from 1 species